GAUGAAGAACGUAGCGAAAUGCGAUAAGUAAUGUGAAUUGCAGAAUUCAGUGAAUCAUCGAAUCUUUGAACGCACCUUGCGCCCUUUGGCCAUUCCGAAGGGCAUGCCUGUUUGAGUAUCAUGAACACCUCAACUCUUCAUGGUUUUCCGUGAUGAGCUUGGACUUUGGGGGUCUUGCUGGCCUAUGGUCAGCUCCUCUAAAAUAAAUCAGCUUGCCAGUGUUUGGUGGGUAUCACAGGUGUGAUAACUAUCUACGCUUGUGGUUUUCCACCAGGUAACCUUCAGCAGUGGAGGUUCGCUGGAGCUCACAGAUGUGUCUCUCCUCAGUGAGGACUGCUCUUUGAAUGUUUGAUCUCAAAUCAGGUAGGACUACCCGCUGAACUUAAGCAUAUCAAUAAGCGGAGGA
rnacentral:misc_RNA from 1 species